GACGAACGCUGGCGGCGUGCUUAACACAUGCAAGUCGAACGGAAAGGCCCUGCUUUUGUGGGUUUCUCGAGUGGCGAACGGGUGAGUAACACGUGAGUAACCUGCCCUUGACUUUGGGAUAACUUCAGGAAACUGGGGCUAAUACCGGAUAGGAGCUCCUGCUGCAUGGUGGGGGUUGGAAAGUUUCGGCGGUUGGGGAUGGACUCGCGGCUUAUCAGCUUGUUGGUGGGGUAGUGGCUUACCAAGGCUUUGACGGGUAGCCGGCCUGAGAGGGUGACCGGCCACAUUGGGAAUGAGAUACGGCCCAGACUACUACGGGAGGCAGCAGUGGGGAAUAGUGCACGAUGGGCGGAAGCCUGAUGCAGCAACGCCGCGUGCGGGAUGACGGCCUUCGGGUUGUAAACCGCUUUCGCCUGUGACGAAGCGUGAGUGACGGUAAUGGGUAAAGAAGCACCGGCUAACUACGUG
rnacentral:rRNA from 1 species